AUUGAACGCUGGCGGCAGGCCUAACACAUGCAAGUCGAACGGUAACAGGGAUCAGCUUGCUGAUUCGCUGACGAGUGGCGGACGGGUGAGUAAUGUCUGGGAAACUGCCUGAUGGAGGGGGAUAACUACUGGAAACGGUAGCUAAUACCGCAUAACGUCGCAAGACCAAAGAGGGGGACCUUCGGGCCUCUUGCCAUCGGAUUUGCCCAGAUGGGAUUAGCUAGUAGGUGGGGUAACGGCUCACCUAGGCGACGAUCCCUAGCUGGUCUGAGAGGAUGACCAGCCACACUGGAACUGAGACACGGUCCAGACUCCUACGGGAGGCAGCAGUGGGGAAUAUUGCACAAUGGGCGCAAGCCUGAUGCAGCCAUGCCGCGUGUAUGAAGAAGGCCUUCGGGUUGUAAAGUACUUUCAGCGGGGAGGAAGGGAGUAAAGUUAAUACCUUUGCUCAUUGACGUUACCCGCAGAAGAAGCACCGGCUAACUCCGUG
rnacentral:rRNA from 1 species